UACGUAGGGGGCAAGCGUUGUCCGGAUUUAUUGGGCGUAAAGAGCGUGUAGGCGGCUAUACAGGUCCGCUGUGAAAACUCGAGGCUCAACCUCGAGACGUCGGUGGAAACCGUAUGGCUAGAGUCCGGAAGGGGAGAGUGGAAUUCCUGGUGUAGCGGUGAAAUGCGCAGAUAUCAGGAAGAACACCCGUGGCGAAGGCGGCUCUCUGGGACGGUACUGACGCUGAGACGCGAAAGCGUGGGGAGCGAACAGG
rnacentral:rRNA from 1 species